UUAUGAUUGUAAAUUUAUGCAAAUACAACUUGAGACUGGCUAUAAUCCUCUUUGUCCUGUUGGUUUCUUUCUGAACUUCAUCUAGUUAGCAAUGUUGUAAUUUGGGUCACUUUAGAUUCUCCCCUUCUUGAUUUGCAAAGAAUUUGUUAAAAUUGUUCUGUGAUAUUAAUCUGCCAUAUAGCAUUAAUUGGGUUUAAAUAUGGCUUUGCAUUGUGGUGAUGAAUACAGAUUGUUAUAGUGAGCAAUGAA
rnacentral:misc_RNA from 1 species